UCAUUCCUAUUCCAAACCUCAUUCAAUAUUAUGUAGUGGACCGAAAUCUCGCGAUUCUCGGGAGGCCAGCAUGUUUCGUCUGAAGCAUCACAGUAAUCUAGAAUAACCUCAUGCCUUGGAACUGAUGAGUGAGCGAUGGGUGGAUUCAAACUAGGGUCACUAUUUAGUGCCAUUUUCCUCUUCUAGGGUUAUGCAUCCUUUGAACCAAGGGGUCUGCCACGCUUCAGGGUCGGAGCAGAUGAUUGGUUAGCCGCCAAUGUAUCUUGCCGCGUGGAGGGUGCGGCCUCCCCACCUUCGGGGACGGUCCAGCCUUCCUAGGUGGGUUGUUGAUGUACACGGGGUACAUCUAUCCUUGCAUGUGUGUUUGCAGCGAGUAUAUGUGAUACUGUUACCUUUGCUAGAUCAUUAAAAGCAUCUGGCAUGCUAUGAGUAAUGCUCUGAAGAUCUAUAAUUCAUCGCACCUCAGUUUCAGACUAGGCAGUGCGGGGAUCUAAAUAAGACAUAGUGGGAGCAUACCACAACAAUUCG
rnacentral:lncRNA from 1 species